AUUUUGCCGCAUACACGAAAAGAAGUGGUCAUUUUAUAGGCAAACGCGUAUACAUCUUGUGCCGUUUAAAGAAAACAGCUGCAAGAAUCUUAUAAAUUACUAAUCGAUUGUUUUUCAGUAGCCUAUCGCUAUUUUGUUUGAAAUUAACGUGAAGAAAGUGUUGAAAUAUUAAUGAACUAAGAUCGUCAGAGUAAACUGCUUCAUCUUAUAACGGGCAUAAAAGUUGAU
rnacentral:lncRNA from 1 species